UAGAAGUUAUCAUAUCAAAAGUGCAGACUAGCUUUGAUUUAUCUCUCAGUUCUACAAUCGCUCUUCUGGAGAUGGAUAAAGAAUUCCAGCUCUUCAGUGGAAACAUUAGUGAGUCCUGUGGCUUAGGAAGCUUUGUGAUUGUUGUCACAUGGGAUACACUGUUGCAUUUGAAGUUCAAGGUUGAUCAUGAAGGCUGUAACAGUAAUAUUGAACGCAAUUGUUCCUUCAAAGCUAAGUGAAAUGAACACGCCAGCCAUCAACUAAAUCUUGAGACUGCCUCAGUUUUAGUUAAGGUGGCUUGGGCUGUGUUGCCUGCAUCGUUGAGCAAUUAACAGUAUUGUGUAUCCUGCGCUGUAUAUAACCGAAUGUACUAACUUGGACCCUUAUUUCAGUAGUUCGUGUAACUAGUUGCACACAAAUCCUGAGAACUUGGGCUGUGUUGCCUGCAUCGUUGAGCAAUUAACAGUAUUGCAUCCUGCACUGUAUAUAACCGAGUGUAUUAACUUGGACCCUUAUUUCAGUCGUUCGUGUAACUAGUUGCACCCAAAUCCUGAGAAUUUGCCAUUUCAGAAAUAACAUGCCUUGCCGACUCUAACAGAAGAAUCAGUACAAAAGAACUUCGACUUUCCUUUCUCAGUAUUUGCUUCGCUCAAAUACUUUGCUCUAAUUUAUCAGUUUAUGCAUAUUGCACUUUCUUGAUACUCGGUACUCCUAAACUAAUAUAAGAG
rnacentral:lncRNA from 1 species